GCGUUUAUAGCUCAGUGGGUUAGAGCGCGGGUGGGCGGAGGCCGAGGUUGGCCGUUCGCUUCGGCCUAGGCGCA
rnacentral:tRNA from 1 species